UAUUAUUACUUUGGCAGAUUAGUGCAAUAAAUUUAGAAUUUAUUUAUGUAAAUAUAUUACAAGUAAUA
rnacentral:tRNA from 1 species